GAUGAAUUACAUCUCAUUAUUUGUAUUUUAAUGGGACCAUUAAUUCUUUUCUUUUUUUGAAUGCAAAUGUAUUUUUAUUUUGUUGCAAUAUUCUAUUGAUUAUAUUUACAAUCAAUACAUGUGUAAUGCAUUAUAAUGCAUUUUCUGUUUAUUAUUGGUGUCUAUGCAAUGAUCUGGCAUCAACUUAUUUUUCUUUCAUAUAAAAAUAUAAAUAUGAAAUGGGAUAAUAUAUAAUUACUAUGUAUGGUUCUGAUAUGGACAGGGUUUUCUAUUCAUAUGACAUCACAUUAUUACAUGACAUUGAUCUGUAUAAUUCCUUAUGAUAUACAUCAUGGCCAAAAAAUGAAAUCCAUAGUUUAUGACAUGCCAAUGAAUACAGUAUAUUUCUUUGUUUUGACAAUAUCUUUAUUGUGUAUAUGUUGCGUUUUCUGCUUCCUUUUUUUGUAAAUAGUUAUUUAUUCCAUAAACAUAAUUUUAAGAUUAGAGACUCUUUAUACACCUGUUUUGCAGCUUUCUUUUCUAACUUGUGAUUUCCUAGGCAUAUUUUCUUUUGAAGUUUUAUUUUUUUUAAGGGUACUUGUAUAAUUUGGGUAUUAUUUUUGUGGCCUUUAAAAGUUUCAUAUUGGAUUGUAUCUCAUAUUUUAAUUAAAAAAAAAAUUAUUCUGGGAAUCCCAAUUAGAUGUAUUGUUUAUUUAUCAUUUUUAUUAAUGUCUUGAUUUUGUCAUGAAAAUCAAUUACCAGUAAUUAAUACAUGUAUAAUUUAAGUUUAUCAAUACCACAGGUAUAUGCAUUGUACAUGAUAUCAUUAUUGAAUGAAGAGAGAACAUGUGGAAAGAUUGUUCAGGGGUGUCUGUUUUGUUCUGGGAUGAAUUAAGCUGGCUUUGUCCAUAAUGAUGACUCUGUCUAAAAGUACUCUGUACUUGGCAUAGUUGGAGGAGUGACAAAGGGCAGACAAUUCAUCUUUGAACAGAAUAGCCUCUUCUGGUCUUUGAUAAAAAAGAUAUAAUUUUUUUAUGAGUACUAGGUAUAUAUCAUUGUGUGAUUUGCAGGCAUAAUCAAGUUUGACAUAUGACUGAUUACAUUUAUUAUACAUUUUCUUUUGCUUGGUUUUUAUUAUACUAAAUAAAAAUAUUG
rnacentral:misc_RNA from 1 species